GGAAUAUUGCACAAUGGGCGCAAGCCUGAUGCAGCCAUGCCGCGUGUAUGAAGAAGGCCUUCGGGUUGUAAAGNACUUUCAGCAGUGAGGAAGGCGGGUNCGUUAAUAGCGUAUUCGUUUGACGUUAGCUGCAGAAGAAGCACCGGCUAACUCCGUGCCAGCAGCCGCGGUAAUACGGAGGGUGCGAGCGUUAAUCGGAAUUACUGGGCGUAAAGCGCAUGCAGGUGGUNUGUUAAGUCAGAUGUGAAAGCCCGGGGCUCAACCUCGGAAUAGCAUUUGAAACUGGCACACUAGAGUACUGUAGAGGGGGGUAGAAUUUCAGGUGUAGCGGUGAAAUGCGUAGAGAUCUGAAGGAAUACCGGUGGCGAAGGCGGCCCCCUGGACAGAUACUGACACUCAGAUGCGAAAGCGUGGGGAGCAAACAGGAUUAGAUACCCUGGUAGUCCACGCCGUAAACGAUGUCUACUUGGAGGUUGUGGCCUUGAGCCGUGGCUUUCGGAGCUAACGCGUUAAGUAGACCGCCUGG
rnacentral:rRNA from 1 species